rnacentral:rRNA from 1 species
AACGAACGCUGGCGGCAGGCUUAACACAUGCAAGUCGAACGCAUCCUUCGGGGUGAGUGGCAGACGGGUGAGUAACGCGUGGGAACGUGCCCUUCAGUUCGGGAUAACCCAGGGAAACUUGGGCUAAUACCGGAUACGUGCGAGAGCAGAAAGAUUUAUCGCUGAAGGAUCGGCCCGCGUCUGGUGAGCUAGUUGGUGGGGUAAUGGCCCACCAAGGCGACGAUCAGUAGCUGGUCUGAGAGGAUGAUCAGCCACAUUGGGACUGAGACACGGCCCAACCUCGUACGGGAGGCGGCAGUGGGGAAUAUUGGACAAUGGGCGCAAGCCUGAUCCAGCCAUGCCGCGUGAGUGAUGAAGGCCUUAGGGUUGUAAAGCUCUUUCGUCCGGGACGAUAAUGACGGUACCGGAAGAAGAAGCCCCGGCUAACUUCGUGCCAGCAGCCGCCGUAA